rnacentral:rRNA from 1 species
GAUGAACGCUGGCGGCGUGCCUAGUACAUGCAAGUCGAGCGGAAAGACGAGAAGCUUGCUUCUCUGAUGUUAGCGGCGGACGGGUGAGUAACACGUGGAUAACCUACCUAUCAGACUGGGAUAACUUCGGGAAACCGUAGCUAAUACCGGAUAAUAUUUUGAACCGCAUGGUUCAAAAGUGAAAGACGGUCUUGCUGUCACUUAUAGCUGGAUACGCGCUGCAUUAGCUAGUUGGUAAGGUAACGGCUUACCACGGCAACGAUGCAUAGCCGACCUGAGAGGGUGAUCGGCCACACUGGAACGUGGACACGGUCCAGACUCCUACGGGAGGCAGCAGUAGGGAAUCGUCCGCAAUGGGCGAAAGCCUGACGGAGCAACGCCGCGUGAGUGAUGAAGGUCUUCGGAUCGUAAAACUCUGUUAUUAGGGAAGAACAUAUGUGUAAGUAACUGUGCACAUCUUGACGGUACCUAAUCAGAAAGCCACGGCUAACUACGUG